GCGGACGGGUGAGUAACACGUGGGUAACCUACCCAUCAGAGACUCUACCUACUUGGAAACAGGUGCUAAUACCGCAUAAUAGUCGACACCGCAUGGUGUUGAUUUGAAAGACGCUUUCGGGUGUCACUGAUGGAUGGACCCGCGGUGCAUUAGCUAGUUGGUGAGGUAACGGCUCACCAAGGCCAUGAUGCAUAGGCAAU
rnacentral:rRNA from 1 species